rnacentral:rRNA from 1 species
CCUUAACACAUGCAAGUCGAACGCUCCGCAAGGAGAGUGGCAGACGGGGUGAGUAACACGUGGGAACGUACCCUUUACUACGGAACAACUCCGGGAAACUGGAGCUAAUACCGUAUGUGCCCUUCGGGGGAAAGAUUUAUCGGUAAAGGAUCCGGCCCGCGUUGGAUUAGCUAGUUGGGUGGGGUAAAGGCCUACCAAGGCGACGAUCCAUAGCUGGUCUGAGAGGAUGAUCAGCCACAUUGGGACUGAGACACGGCCCAAACUCCUACGGGAGGCAGCAGUGGGGAAUAUUGGACAAUGGGCGCAAGCCUGAUCCCAGCCAUGCCGCGUGUGUGAUGAAGGCCUUAGGGUUGUAAAGCACUUUCACCGGAGAAGAUAAUGACGGUAUCCGGAGAAGAAGCCCCGGCUAACUUCGUGCCAGCAGCGGC